rnacentral:rRNA from 1 species
AGAGUUUGAUCCUGGCUCAGGACGAACGCUGGCGGCGUGCCUAAUACAUGCAAGUCGAGCGAAUCGACGGGAGCUUGCUCCCUGAGAUUAGCGGCGGACGGGUGAGUAACACGUGGGCAACCUGCCUAUAAGACUGGGAUAACUUCGGGAAACCGGAGCUAAUACCGGAUACGUUCUUUUCUCGCAUGAGAGAAGAUGGAAAGACGGUUUACGCUGUCACUUAUAGAUGGGCCCGCGGCGCAUUAGCUAGUUGGUGAGGUAAUGGCUCACCAAGGCGACGAUGCGUAGCCGACCUGAGAGGGUGAUCGGCCACACUGGGACUGAGACACGGCCCAGACUCCUACGGGAGGCAGCAGUAGGGAAUCUUCCGCAAUGGACGAAAGUCUGACGGAGCAACGCCGCGUGAACGAAGAAGGCCUUCGGGUCGUAAAGUUCUGUUGUUAGGGAAGAACAAGUACCAGAGUAACUGCUGGUACCUUGACGGUACCUAACCAGAAAGCCACGGCUAACUACGUGCCAGCAGCCGCGGUAAUACGUAGGUGGCAAGCGUUGUCCGGAAUUAUUGGGCGUAAAGCGCGCGCAGGUGGUUCCUUAAGUCUGAUGUGAAAGCCCAAGGCUCAACC